UACGGAGGAUGCAAGCGUUAUCCGGAAUGAUUGGGCGUAAAGCGUCCGCAGGUGGCUAUGUAAGUCUGCUGUUAAAGAGUCUAGCUCAACUAGAUAAGAGCAGUGGAAACUACAAGGCUAGAGUACGUUCGGGGCAGAGGGAAUUCCUGGUGUAGCGGUGAAAUGCGUAGAGAUGCGGAGGAACACCGAUGGCGAAGGCAGCCCCCUGGGCCAAUACUGACGCUCAGGCACGAAAGCGUGGGGAGCAAACAGG
rnacentral:rRNA from 1 species